rnacentral:rRNA from 1 species
CCAGACUCCUACGGGAGGCAGCAGUGGGGGAUAUUGCACAAUGGGGGGAACCCUGAUGCAGCGACGCCGCGUGGGUGAAGAAGCGCCUCGGCGCGUAAAGCCCUGUCAGCAGGGAAGAAAAUGACGGUACCUGACUAAGAAGCCCCGGCUAACUACGUGCCAGCAGCCGCGGUAAUACGUAGGGGGCAAGCGUUAUCCGGAUUCACUGGGUGUAAAGGGAGCGUAGGCGGGGAUGCAAGUUGGGUGUUAAAUCUACCGGCUCAACUGGUAGUCGCACUCAAAACUGCAGCUCUUGAGUGAAGUAGAGGCAGGCGGAAUUCCUAGUGUAGCGGUGAAAUGCGUAGAUAUUAGGAGGAACACCAGUGGCGAAGGCGGCCUGCUGGGCUUUUACUGACGCUGAGGCUCGAAAGUGUGGGGAGCAAACAGGAUUAGAUACCCUCGUAU